UAUUAUAUAGUAUAAAAAUUACCUUUUAUUUCCAAUAAAAAAAUUUAAUAAAAUUAAUAUAAUAA
rnacentral:tRNA from 1 species